GAGACUCUGUGCGCGUGCAUAUCAAUAAGCGGAGGAAAAGUAACUAACAAGGAUUCCCUUAGUAACGGCGAGUGAAGCGGGAAGAGCUCAAAUUUGAAAUCUUCAAGGUUCUACCUUGACGAAUUGUAGUUUAUAGAAGUGUUUUCUGUUAGUAGAGUGGCAAAAGUUCUUUGGAAUAGGACAUCAUAGAGGGUGAGAAUCCCGUAUUUGGUCAUUCUUUCUAGCUUUGUGAUACACUUUCAACGAGUCGGAUUGUUUGGGAAUGCAGUCCAAAAUGGGUGGUAAAUUUCAUCUAAAGCUAAAUAUUGGCGAGAGACCGAUAGCGAACAAGUACCGUGAGGGAAAGAUGAAAAGAACUUUGAAAAGAGAGUUAAACAGUACGUGAAAUUGUCAAAAGGGAAGCGUUUGACACCAGUGUUGUUUUUCCGAAAAUCAAUUACGAAUGUUUUAUUUUUGAGAAGUUAUGACUUCAUCGGCUUGCUUCUCUCUUUAUGAAACUUUCUUAAUGCACUUUUCGGUUAACAAGUCAACAUCAAUUUCUUUUGUUGUAAAAGGGUAUGAGGAAGGUGGCUUUCUUUUCGGAGAAAGUGUUUAUAGCCUUGUACCUCUGCAAUCGGAGAGAUUGAGGUCUGCAGCGUAGAUCCUUCGGGGUUAGAUACAUUUGUGCUAAGUUAUAGCUUUUAAUAGACAACUUGUUGACUACGUUUAGUCUUGUAGCUUACUCGCUUAUGCUAUUUUACCUACGCUUAGGAUGUUGACAGCAGUAUAGACUGU
rnacentral:rRNA from 1 species